GAAGAGGAUUAGAUACCCUCGUAGUCCAUGCCGUAAACGAUGUGUGUUAGACGUUGGAAAUUUAUUUUCAGUGUCGCAGGGAAGCCGAUAAACACACCGCCUGGGGAGUACGACCGCAAGGAAAAAACUCAAAUGAAUUGACGGGGACCCGCCCAAGUAGUGGAGCAUGUGGUUUAAUUCGAAGAUACGCGCAGAACCUUACCAACACUUGACAUGUUCGUCGCGACUCUAAGAGAUUAGAGUUUUCGGUUCGGCCGGACGAAACACAGGUGCUGCAUGGCUGUCCGCAGCUCGUGUCGUGAAUGUUGGGUUAAGUCC
rnacentral:rRNA from 1 species